rnacentral:rRNA from 2 species
GGGGAAUUUUCCGCAAUGGGCGAAAGCCUGACGGAGCAAUACCGCGUGAGGGAGGAAGGCUCUUGGGUCGUAAACCCCUUUUCUCAGGGAAGAAAAAAAUGACGGUACCUGAGGAAUAAGCAUCGGCUAACCCCGUGCCAGCAGCCGCGGUAAUACGGAGGAUGCAAGCGUUAUCCGGAAUGAUUGGGCGUAAAGCGUCCGCAGGUAGCUAUGUAAGUCUGCUGUUAAAGAGUGAGGCUCAACCUCAUAAGAGCAGUGGAAACUACAUGGCUAGAGUACGUUCGGGGCAGAGGGAAUUCCCGGUGUUGCGGUGAAAUGCGUAGAGAUCAGGAAGAACACCGGUGGCGAAAGCGCUCUGCUAGGCCGUAACUGACACUGAGGGACGAAAGCUAGGGGAGCGAAUGGGAUUAGAUACCCCAGUAGUCCUAACCGUAAACGAUGGAUACUAGGCGUGGCUUGUAUCGACCCGAGCCGUGCCGUAGCUAACGCGUUAAGUAUCCCGCCCGGGGAGUACGCACGCAAGUGUGAAACUCAAAGGAAUUGACGGGGGCCCGCACAAGCGGUGGAGUAUGUGGUUUAAUUCGAUGCAACGCGAAGAACCUUACCAAGACUUGACAUGUCGCGAAUCUUCCUGAAAGGGGAGAGUGCCUUCGGGAGCGCGAAAACAAGUGGUGCAUGGCUGUCGUCAGCUCGUGUCGUGAGAUGUUGGGUUAAGUCCCGCAACGAGCGCAACCCUCGUUUUUAGUUGCCAGCAUUAAGUUGGGCACUCUAGAGAGACUGCCGGUGACAAACCGGAGGAAGGUGGGGAUGACGUCAAGUCAGCAUGCCCCUUACGUCUUGGGCUACACACGUACUACAAUGCUACGGACAGAGGGCAACGAGCGCGGGAGUCCAAGCAAAUCCCGUAAACCGUGGCUCAGUUCAGAUCGCAGGCUGCAACUCGCCUGCGUGAAGGUGGAAUCGCUAGUAAUUGCAGGUCAGCAUACUGCAGUGAAUUCGUUCCCGGGCCUUGUACACACCGCCCGUCACACCAUGGAAGCUGGUAGUGCCCGAAGUCAUUACUCCAACCUUUCGGGGGGAGGAUGCCUAAGGCAGGACUGGUGACUGGGGU